UGAUUCUUUAUUGCACAUAUUGCUGUUUUAACAAUAAAACUUGGUGUACAGCAUUCCAUCAAGUAUCCCUGCUAAAUUUACUACUAAAUAUCCAGGGAGAAUAUUCCGUAGAAUUAACAAUAAAUAACAUUGGUAUAAAUAUCUGAAUAAAUAAAUUACUGUUACAAACAGUCUUUAUUAAUACAAAAUUUGUAUACUAUUUAUAUUUAUAAUAAUAUCUGUAAUAUUCCAAUAUCUAUAAUUACACAAGUUUGUCGGUAUUUUUACGGAAAUUAUUCUUUACUCCGGAAUUGGUUUUUUAUACUAUCUUUAAUGUAUCAGAAACGAAAUGCGGUCAGUGACCUCGCACGUUCUUUUCAAUCUUUCAAUUUUGAGAAUACACAAUUUUCAAUCCUGGUGUUUGCAUAUAUUAUUUAAUGAUUUGAAAAUUUGGAAUAAUGAUUCGAAAAGGUUGCUGUAGGCCAUUAGCAUUGACCGUGCAUAUAUGCAGAUAAUUUCUCAUGGUGGUUUAUAGUUGGAUAUUUUAAAUUUCAUACAUGGAUAAAAAUUUCAUGAAGAAUAGGCUGUUUAUGAUCUUCAUUAGUGAUAUGGAUUUGACUCUCUAUCAGUCUGCAAAUUUUAAGUGGACAACCUUCAACAGUUAUGUCACACAAGCAUACUAAGACAUAUUUCAAAUAAAAUAUACAGUUAAAAAUAAAUGAAGACAGUGCUAUACAUACAGUUUUGUGAAGAAUAUGGUUUUUACAAUGCAUAUUUUUAGAUUUUUUUUUUAUAAUUUAUAAUAAAAGAAUUCUAGUCUUA